rnacentral:rRNA from 1 species
UACGUAGGUGGCAAGCGUUGUCCGGAUUUACUGGGCGUAAAGAGCGCGCAGGCGGUCGUUCAAGUCGCGUGUGAAAGCCCCCGGCUCAACUGGGGAGGGUCACGCGAUACUGAUCGACUCGAAGGCAGGAGAGGGUAGUGGAAUUCCCGGUGUAGUGGUGAAAUGCGUAGAUAUCGGGAGGAACACCAGUGGCGAAGGCGACUACCUGCCUGUUCUUGACGCUGAGGCGCGAAAGCCAGGGGAGCGAACGGG